GACGAACGCUGGCGGCGUGCCUAAUACAUGCAAGUCGAACGCUUCUUUCCUCCCGAGUGCUUGCACUCAAUUGGAAAGAGGAGUGGCGGACGGGUGAGUAACACGUGGGUAACCUACCCAUCAGAGGGGGAUAACACUUGGAAACAGGUGCUAAUACCGCAUAACAGUUUAUGCCGCAUGGCAUAAGAGUGAAAGGCGCUUUCGGGUGUCGCUGAUGGAUGGACCCGCGGUGCAUUAGCUAGUUGGUGAGGUAACGGCUCACCAAGGCCACGAUGCAUAGCCGACCUGAGAGGGUGAUCGGCCACACUGGGACUGAGACACGGCCCAGACUCCUACGGGAGGCAGCAGUAGGGAAUCUUCGGCAAUGGACGAAAGUCUGACCGAGCAACGCCGCGUGAGUGAAGAAGGUUUUCGGAUCGUAAAACUCUGUUGUUAGAGAAGAACAAGGACGUUAGUAACUGAACGUCCCCUGACGUAUCUAACCAGAAAGCCACGCA
rnacentral:rRNA from 1 species